UACGAAGGGGGCUAGCGUUGUUCGGAAUUACUGGGCGGUAAAGCGCGCGCAGGCGGGCUAUCCAAGUCAGUGGUGAAAGCCCGGAGCUCAACUCCGGAACUGCCAUUGAAACUGUUUAGCUUGAGGACGAGAGAGGUGAGUGGAAUUCCAGUGGUAGAGGUGAAAUUCGUAGAUAUUAGGGAAGAACACCGGUGGCGAAGGCGGCUACACUGGCUCGUAUUGACGCUGCGGCGCGACAGCGUGGGGAUCAAACAGG
rnacentral:rRNA from 1 species